rnacentral:lncRNA from 1 species
UGGUAAUAUGAAUGCUGAAUUCUAAUAGGCAUCGCGUUUUAGGUACCUAAGAAAAAUUUGUCCCCUUCAUUGUUGAUGACAAAAAGGGGGAGUAGAACCAAUAUGGAAUGCAAAAUGCAAAAUUUACACUCAUACUUAAAAGUUGAAUUAGAAUCAACAAAAUGAAAAGAUAAAAUUGAAGAAUAUUGGCUUUAAGACAAUUGUCCUUCUGGAAAAGAAAGGGGGAGUCAAAAGUAUUUGGCUUUUGAUUGUCGUUAGCAUCAAUAUUUCAUUAAUUUCACUUUAACUUGAUUCAAAUCUAAAAGUGAUAGAUGAUAUGCCAAAAUUGCUCAAAGAGCUACUAAGAUCAAUACUUAUGCAU